GUGGGAGCUGGCUUGCCUGCGAUGGCGUCGGCACAUUCAGCAUUUGAGGUAUCUGGCCUACCGCAAUCGCAGGCAAGCCAGCUCCCAC
rnacentral:antisense_RNA from 1 species